UCCAGAGUCAUACUAUCACGUUUUAGGCGUUUUCACACCUGCAGUUCAGUUUGCUUUGGUCCGAAUCAGUUGGUGAGUUUAUAAACUUGGAGCGAUUUGCCCUUACACCUGGAAAAAUCUAAGCGUACCCAAAUGCAUCAUCAC